rnacentral:tRNA from 2 species
GCGAGAGUAGUUCAGCUGGUAGACCACGACCUUGCCAAGGUCGGGGCAGCGAGUUCGAAUCUGAUAUCUCGCC